rnacentral:rRNA from 1 species
UCCAGGCGGCCACUUCACGCGUUAGCUACGGUACUAAGGAAGUCUCCUUCCCCAACACCUAGUUGGCAUCGUUUAGGGCGUGGACUACCAGGGUAUCUAAUCCUGUUUGCUACCCACGCUUUCGUGCAUGAGCGUCAGUGUUGACCCAGGGGGCUGCCUUCGCCAUCGGUGUUCCUCCACAUCUCUACGCAUUUCACUGCUACACGUGGAAUUCCACCCCCCUCUGCCACACUCAAGCCUUGCAGUCACAAGCGCAGUUCCCAGGUUAAGCCCGGGGAUUUCACAUCUGUCUUACAAAACCGCCUGCGCACGCUUUACGCCCAGUAAUUCCGAUUAACGCUCGCACCCUACGUAUUACCGCGGCUGCUGGCACGUAGUUAGCCGGUGCUUCUUCUUCAGGUACCGUCAUUGAUNANAGGUAUUAGCCUCCACCGUUUCGUUCCUGCCGAAAGAGCUUUACAACCCGAAGGCCUUCUUCACUCACGCGGAAUGGCUGGAUCAGGGUUGCCCCCAUUGUCCAAAAUUCCCCACUGCUGCCUCCCGUA